GCACUGGAUUUAAACCCCAAAUAUAAAGUUUAAACUUUUUUUAGAAAUUUCAACUUGAAAAAAU
rnacentral:tRNA from 4 species